rnacentral:lncRNA from 1 species
ACUACGAGUCGACUCCGACUGAGAACUGACAGAAAUACAGAAAGUUGAUUUUCAGACCCUGUCAGCGAGUCGACUCCAGAAGGGUUCGAGUCGACUCCGAUGGUUGCCGAGUCGACUCCCGACGUUUCCGAGUCGACUCCAAAGGGUAACAGAAGAAAGACAGAACAAUGUAUUUCAGACCCUGCAGCCGAGUCGACUCCAGAAGGUUACGAGUCGACUCCG